AUGGCUACAGUCCUCAUGGUCCCCUUGAUCCUGUACCUGCUCGCGGUGCUUGCCGGCCGCCAUGUUCACUGUAAGAGCAAUGGGGCCGCCGCCGGCCUUUAUGACGUUACAGAGUACGGAGCGGCGCCGAGCAGCGAAGACAACAAAGACGUGAUCUUGGCGGCAUGGCGCGCCGCGUGCAGCUCCACGACCGGCAACACGACGCUGCUGAUCCCCGAGGGCACCUUCGCCGUCGGCGCCGUGGAGUUCUCGGGCCCGUGCAAGAGCGGUGACGCGCCCGUCGUGGUGAUCGACGGCGUGCUCCGGCCGUGCACGGGUGGAUGCCACCUAACGGAUGAUGAUUGGAUCACGUUCAGGGCCCUGAGCAACCUCCUCGUCACCGGCGCCGGUACACUAGACGGCCAGGGCGGCGCUCGGACUAGCAAGGCCAAAACGACGACACUGGAGCUGGACGGCGUGACGAACUCGACCGUGAGGGGCCUGCGGUUCGUGGACAGCCGGGGUUUCCACUUGAGCUUCCACCGCAGCAGCCGCGUCGCGGCGGAGGGCCUCCGCAUCCACGCCCCCGCAUCCAGCCGGAACACGGACGGCAUCCACGUCGGCUGCUCGAGCCACGUCCGCAUCGCCGACUCGGUCAUCGGCACGGGCGACGACUGCGUGUCCGUCGGCCCCGGCUCCUCGGACGUGGUGGUCACCGGCAUCGUCUGCGGCCCGGGUCACGGCAUCAGCGUGGGCAGCCUGGGGAGGAAGGAGGGGGAGGAGGACGUGCGCGGGCUGGUGAUCCGGAACUGUACCGUGCGCGGCACCACCAACGGGCUGCGCAUCAAGACGUGGCCCGGGUCGCCGCCGGGGCGGGCCUCCAACAUCACCUUCGAGGACAUCAUCAUGGCCGACGUGUCCAACCCCAUCCUCAUCGACCAGCGGUACUGCCCCCACGGCCGUUGCUCCGACGUGGACAAGCCUUCGCGGGUGCAGAUCAGCGACGUGACCUUCAGGAGGAUCCAGGGGACGUCGAGCAGCAAGGUGGCGGUGCAGCUGCGGUGCAGCGAGGAGCAGCCGUGCAGCGGGGUGCGCCUGGACGGCAUCAACCUCCGGUGCGGCGACCAGCCGUGCCACGCGCAGUUCGCCAACGUGCGGGGGACGCCCGCCUUGGAGGCGCAGGCGCCCAGCCUCUGGGUUCAAGAAGCUCACGUGCUGCCAUCAGACGCUGAAUAA
rnacentral:rRNA from 1 species